AUUAUUAAUUACCUAGAUGUCUCACUUCGGGAUUUUUCCAUACAUCCAGUUGGCGACACCCCUUUAGCGCUCCGAGCGCCACCACAGUCGAGUUACAGGUACUAAAAUGUUUGGAAAAAUCUAAGCAUCCUGUGCAUUUGCCUUGAUGAAAGUUUGUUUUGUUUUUGACAAAGUGUCAGCGGUUUUUUUCACCCUAGAACAAUCUGUCUUUGUAAUCAAAUUGUUUCAAUCCCGAAACAUGGUAUAUCUCCCCCUCUAGUCGUACAACGAUCUUGACGAUUCCUAGCAGCGAAUCAAAACACGAUCUGAAGGAGGUGACCCAUCUUAAGAUGUACACGGACAGUGCCCGCUCGAUUGCAAACCCGCUUUGAACUGUGCUGCUCCUGUGUGGUCCCCACCAGCUGGGAGAAAACGUCUCGUUUGGUGGCACCGACGGUCACCAAGCUGAAUAACAAUCCGCGCUACGUGAAAACAUAAAAAAAGGCAAAAAACUUUAGCAAGGUCAUGCCUUGAAGCUGGCACAUCAAGAAAACAAUAAGCUUUGACAUCGUGAAUCGGAAUGAGAGCGUCCGCCACCGUCUCCCACACAACAAGGCUGACCAGUUGAAGCUCAGAAAUCAUAUGGAGCCUCAAAAUGGAAAAUAUGAACAGCUUGAUAUUAUAAUUCAUCUUUUUAUUAUAAA